UAGGGGUUAGACAGGAUUUCAUAAUCAGACGAUCAAAUAACUCAACCAGGUUUACAACCCUUUCAAUGCACGUACCCACAUUCACGCCCACACCCACGUGCACGCCCACGUGCGCGCCCCAACGAGGGAGGGGAACGAGAGGACAAAGAGAAGCUGACAACACCGGCUGCCAUCUUAGAGUGAACCCAACACACCAAAACACAAAAUGGCGUCCGGUGGAGCCGAGCAGUCAUGUUGGGAGGAGCACGUAGCCUGGGUCACCAUGGUUACAAACCCCACCAUCUUAGAUAUUAUGAGAUUCAUCUGUGGGUGGAUCUCACAAACACGCGACUCUACUGUGGACCCAGGCGCGUCGGUUGUUUGGCUGAACGGCCUCGUCACGCCCUCCUCGAACCCUGACGACCAAAACCACCUUUUGAAGAGGAAACCACGUGAUUUCCCGGAACUCCAGCGCCAGGCCGACAGAGCUGAACCCGGUGAGGAGGGUCAAGACUGACAUCUACUGGCGGCUGUUGGCACUGCAGGAGAAUUCAUAAUUAUAGUGUUCGCUUGGGGUCAUGUGGGGACGCUGAGAAGAAGUAAGAUGCGAUCACCGCCUGGUGGUCGGAUGGGACACUGCAGCUAAGCGUUCUCUGACUUCUUUGAGCAACAACAAACACAAAGCGUUAUAAAAAUUGAACAGUAUUUAUUUCAGAUAUCAUAUACCUGGUACCAAUAUAGGGUUUAAUGAUUACAAAAAUAGGAAGGUACAAAAACGCUAGAUAUUGUCGCAUGAGAAACCCAAAAGAGUUAGUUCAAACAAGAAGAAGCUCCAAUCUCGUGUCACUGACUCCACCAGACCGGCAGGUUUAUUAAAUAAAA